rnacentral:rRNA from 1 species
UUGAACGCUGGCGGCAGCCUAACACAUGCAAGUCGAAUGGUAACAGGAAACAGCUUGCUGUUUCGCUGACGAGUGGCGGACGGGUGAGUAAUGUCUGGGAAACUGCCUGAUGGAGGGGGAUAACUACUGGAAACGGUAGCUAAUACCGCAUAACGUCGCAAGACCAAAGAGGGGGACCUUCGGGCCUCUUGCCAUCAGAUGUGCCCAGAUGGGAUUAGCUAGUAGGUGGGGUAACGGCUCACCUAGGCGACGAUCCCUAGCUGGUCUGAGAGGAUGACCAGCCACACUGGAACUGAGACACGGUCCAGACUCCUACGGGAGGCAGCAGUGGGGAAUAUUGCACAAUGGGCGCAAGCCUGAUGCAGCCAUGCCGCGUGUAUGAAGAAGGCCUUCGGGUUGUAAAGUACUUUCAGCGGGGAGGAAGGGAGUAAAGUUAAUACCUUUGCUCAUUGACGUUACCCGCAGAAGAAGCACCGGCUAACUCCGUGCCAGCAGCCGCGGUAAUACGGAGGGUGCAAGCGUUAAUCGGAAUUACUGGGCGUAAAGCGCACGCAGGCGGUUUGUUAAGUCAGAUGUGAAAUCCCCGGGCUCAACCUGGGAACUGCAUCUGAUACUGGCAAGCUUGAGUCUCGUAGAGGGGGGUAGAAUUCCAGGUGUAGCGGUGAAAUGCGUAGAGAUCUGGAGGAAUACCGGUGGCGAAGGCGGCCCCCUGGACGAAGACUGACGCUCAGGUGCGAAAGCGUGGGGAGC